UUAAUUGAAGAGUUUGAUCAUGGCUCAGAUUGAACGCUGGCGGCAGGCUUAACACAUGCAAGUCGAGCGGUAGCACAGGGGAGCUUGCUCCCCGGGUGACGAGCGGCGGACGGGUGAGUAAUGUCUGGGAAACUGCCUGAUGGAGGGGGAUAACUACUGGAAACGGUAGCUAAUACCGCAUAACGUCGCAAGACCAAAGAGG
rnacentral:rRNA from 1 species